AUCUCUUGCUGGAGAUCCCUACCCACCUGAGACCUUCCAAAGCACCAGCUAAACACCUGAAGUCCAUCCAGCUACAUGAGAUGGGUACCAGGGCAUUCUGUGGCAGGAGGACCUUGCAGUCAAGGUGAUUGAAGUUUCCCGUUGUCCACAUUUUCUUUCUUGGAACAGGAAGUUUUGGGCAGCAAAUUUCUAUACACAGGUAACUUUCCUUAAAUUAAGUAUUAAAAGGAAAAAAAAAUGGAAAGGUACAGACAAGAAAAUCUUUCCUAGUAAAUCCUGGUUCUGAGUAACCACUGCUUUUCAUGAAUGUAAUAUAGAUUUGCCUUCCUCUGCGUGUACAUGGGGGCCUUACCAUUUGCCACGUGCCCUAUCACAUCCCUGACACCUCCAGUCUGGAGAUUUCAUGUAAACUGCACCGUUAGAGGAGAAAAUAAGGCAUCACAAAACUGACUGCGGUUGAAGUUGUUCUAUCCCAACAAAAUAGUGACUGUAGGUACUACCAACCUCACUUAACACUGCCUGAGCACCACAGAGCGCCGGACACUGUGCCAGCACACACACAGCCCGUCCCACCUCUCACAGGGGUCUCUCCAUGUACCUGUGUGUGCCUGAGACACACCGCGCUGCGCACAGCAAUGGGCACUCUCUGCCACCUGCCUCUUUUCCACUGCACCGGCGUCGAUGGAAAGCCUUCCUCGAACAGCCCGGGUGGUCCCGAAUUUGUUUCCCUGAUGGUCCUUACGAUGCCUGAGCUCGCCGGCCUUAAUGCCAGAGUACGUAAAGCUUAUUUCUCUCCUCAGCUUCUCACCUGAGGGGGGGAAAGAUGACAAUUCAGGUUCUCAGCAGCACAAAGGGAUUGACAAGAGACGCACAUCCCACUCCACUGGUUUCUCUCAGCUACAAUUGGGCACCAGUUGAAAGGCACCAGGGAAAAGUGUCGGUUGGCCUGUCUUAGUCUCAGUGAGUUUCCUAAGAAGUUUGGAAACAAGGCCUAAACUUUAUGUUCCCUUUGUCUUGUUGACCAUUUAGCUCUGUCUGAUAAGGACAGCAAUAUCACACAUCUAUGGAAGCCUCUCCACUUCUGGUGCUCCCAUCUCCUUUAGCCACCUGCUCAGUCAGCUUCUCUAAAGUGCGUUUCUCCUUCUGUAUACGUUACCCCCUAUGGUGGCAGACCCCCUGCCACAGCCCCCUCUCUUUAGGUCUCUUCCCAUUAAACUGUGGCACAGCAAACCCCCAGAGGGUCCUCACAGCCUCCCUCUUUGGGAUGGAAUGGUGGGCAGCUGGAGUGCGCCAAGCAGAGAGGGGUCAGGUAAGGAAGUAGAAGGAUGCAAAGCCACAGCCAUGGGAUGCAGACUACUUCCCAACCUCCUCCUCGAGGCUCCAGCCCUGGGGCCUGUCCUGUUCUUGAAGAACCAGCACUGGCACUCCUAUGCUACUCUGCUCCGGGCCAGCUGCUCUGCAUGGAGUGUGUCCCUUUGGCUGUGUAAGUGAUGGGACACCUGUGCGCACACGCCCCAGCCAUGUGCUGGUAAAUCCCCUCCGUCUCUGUGCCCAAGAGCCACACCAGCCAUACAAACAGAGCUUGCUCUCGCGCCCUGUCCUCAGAGAGUCCCAUCCAGAGCAGAUCACGCUGAUACAACCUGACAACAUCCAGGGAUAAAGGGGAGGCUCACACCAGACGCAGCCUAAUGCUAGCCUGUAUUAGAAGAGGGCAACCAGAGAUCAGGGGAGCCUUUUCUUUCCUCUCCCGCUACCUGCAAAGUAAGGACUCCACAGCGGAUCCUCUUGAUCCCCUGU